rnacentral:rRNA from 1 species
GAUGAACGCUGGCGGCGUGCCUAAUACAUGCAAGUCGAGCGAACGGACGAGAAGCUUGCUCUUCUGAUGUUAGCGGCGGACGGGUGAGUAACACGUGGAUAACCUACCUAUUAGACUGGGAGAACUUCGGGAAACCGGAGCUAAUACCGGAUAAUAUUUUGAACCGCAUGGUUCAAAAGUGAAAGACGGCCUUGCUGUCACUUAUAGAUGGAUCCGCGCUGCAUUAGCUAGUUGGUAAGGUAACGGCUUACCAAGGCAACGAUGCGUAGCCGACCUGAGAGGAUGAUCGGCCACACUGGAACUGAGACACGGUCCAGACUCCUACGGGAGGCAGCAGUAGGGAAUCUUCCGCAAUGGGCGAAAGCCUGACGGAGCAACGCCGCGUGAGUGAUGAAGGUCUUCGGAUCGUAAAACUCUGUUAUUAGGAAAGAACAUAUGUGUAAGUAACUGUGCACAUCUUGACGGUACCUAAUCAGAAAGCCACGGCUAACUACGUG